rnacentral:rRNA from 1 species
CCUACGGGAGGCAGCAGUGAGGAAUAUUGGUCAAUGGUCGCAAGCCUGAACCAGCCAAGUCGCGUGAAGGAAGACGGUCCUAUGGGUUGUAAACCGCUUUUAUCCGGGGGCAAAAGGCGCCACGCGUGGCGUUCCGUAAGUACCGCAUGAAAAAGCAUCGGCUAAAUCCGUGCCAGCAGCCGCGGUAAUACGGAGGGUGCGAGCGUUAUCCGGAUUUAUUGGGUUUAAAGGGUGCGUAGGCGGAAGGUCAAGCCAGCGGUAAAAUUGAGAGGCUCAACCUCGUCGAGCCGUGGAAACUGGGUUUCUUGAGUGCGCGGGAAGUAUGCGGAAUGCGUGGUGUAGCGGUGAAAUGCUUAGAUAUCGCGCAGAACUCCGAUUGCGAAGGCAGCAUACGGGAGCGCAACUGACGCUGAUGCACGAAGGCGUGGGUAUCGAACAGGAUUAGAUACCCUAGUAGUC